UUUUGGGGCAGUUUGUUGAAGAAGCCGAGGGCUCGACAGAGAGGGACAGUAUAAAUAGAGGGAGUUGAGGAUCAAUAGAGCUCCUCCUCUAAAAAUUUCCGCUCGUUUUCUUCCUCUUUUGAAACCUAGGGUUUGUCUGCUCAAUUUUUUUAUAUUUUCUUGGAGUUGAAGAGCAUCAAUGGAGUUCGAGCCUUGGAUUCGGUCUCGAGAACGCCGACGAAGCCAAGAAGCUCAUCAACGAUCGCAAUGAUCAUUAGUUUUGAGAACUGGAUUCGAGUUUGUGAAAACUUCCGACGUUGGAUUUGAGCUCAAGAAUGCCGUACAAGACCAAGAAGUUCAUCAACGAUCUUAAUGGCCUGAUCUAACUACGAAGCUUAUCGAUGAUCGCAAUGGUUUGAUCUAACUCUCUCUCUCUCUCUCUCUCUCUCUUCCAUAGUCUGAUUUCAUUCACUGAUGUUCUGUAUUUUUCUUUAAUUAGAUGAUCGUUUAGUUUAGAACCUUGGAUUUGAGAUUGAGAAUAAUGUACAAGGUGCAAGAUCAGCGACAACAAUGCUUCACCAAAUCAACGAUCAACCUAGGCAGGAAGCUCAAGAAUAAAAUGAAGCGAACGAUGGUUUUUUAGCAAAAGUUACAAUGUACUAAGUUUGAACCUUUGUAAAAUUAUUCUGAUAAUUAAUGUAAUGAUUUGUUCUCUUAAUACAGUUCAAUUUGUAAUAUUUAGAUAAGCAGAAAUACUCAGCAACAGAAUCACUCGCUCACUAUUCAAACUGAUACAACAUAAUCGCAAUUGAUACUAAGAUUGAGAAUAACAUGCACGCAAUAGCAAUUCCGAAAAUACUUGGGCGUAAGAAAAUUAAACCUUCGUCGGGUUGGACUGGUUCGAUGGGAGGAUCCUCUGGAGGCGGUGUAAAAACUCCAAAUGUGAGUGGCGGGAGUUCUCCUCCAAGAGCUACGUAAUUGGGAUGAAGCGGCGUAUCUGGAUGAAAACGUCGGUGCCAAGAACUAAUGCCCAAACUGCUCUCCACACUGUCUACAAGCUGAUGAGUCACGCGUUCGACGUAUUCAGGAACACUCUCGGACGUCCGGUAAUCGAACCACGAGGAAAGCUGCAAAUCAACAAUACCAGUCUCUGGAU